AGGUUUCUAGGUAAGGAUUGUG
rnacentral:miRNA from 1 species